UGUACACACCGCCCGUCGCUACUACCGAUUGAACGGCUCAGUGAGGCCUUCGGACUGGCUCAGGGAGGUCGGCGACGACCACCCAGAGCCGGAAAGUUGUACAAACUUGGUCGUUUAGAGGAAGUUAAAGUCGUAACAAGGUUUCCGUAGGUGAACCUGCGGAAGGAUCAUUA
rnacentral:rRNA from 1 species